AGAAAUGGAAUCAUCGUAUCGCUGAUCUACGUAAACAAAUUGAAGAAUUGUCUGAAAGAAAAUAUGGUAUGUCUAAACUGGAAAAGUCCUGUAAUCUUAUGUUCAUGGGCGUUUACACAAUGGAGUUACUGUUCAUCAUGGGGGUACCGUGGACAAUCCCAGGGCUGCCGACAUGAACUUAUGAAUUCAACAGGUGAAGAUUUACUACUUGAUAAAUCAGCUUUGUGAGCUCGAGCUGUAAAAGCCAAAGGUCCGGUGAUGAUCCCAUACCCUUUUUUCCAGUCUCAUGUUGAAGAUUUUUAUGUAGAAGGCCUUCCCAAAGGAUUUUUUUUUUUUUUUUUUUUUGAGAUGGAGUUUUCACUCUUAUUGCCCAGGCUGGGGUGCAGUGGCGCAACCUUGCUCGUCACUGCAACCUCUGCCUCCUGGGUUCAAGAAAUUCUCCUGCCUUAGCCUCCCAAGUCGCUGGGAUUACAGGUGCCCACCACCACACCAGGCUAAUUUUUGUAUUUUUAGUGGAGAUGGGAUUUCACCAUGUUGGCCGGGCCAGUCUCGAACUCCUGACGUCAAGUGAUCUUCCCGCCUCGGCCUUCCAGAGUGCUGAGAUUACAGACGUGAACCCAUGCCUGGCCAGGAAUUUUGUUUUUUAGGAAGGCUUUCUACUAAUGGAAUUCCUGGCCUUGAGAGGAUGUUACUUUCGAAGGAAAGGAUUUUUUUGUUAUUAAAAGAAACAGGACCUUGCCCUGUCACUCAGGAUGGAGUUCAGUGCUCCUAUCAUGGCUCAUUAUAGCCUCAAACUCCCAGGCUCAAGCAAUCCUACCAUGUCAGCCUUCCCGUAGCUGGGACUACAGGUCUCACACUGUCACCCAGGCUGGAGUACAGUGGCACAACCUCUGCUCACUGCAGCCUCCACCUGCCAGGCUCAAGCAAUUCUCCUGCCUCAGCCUCCCGAGUAGCUGGGAUUACAGGAAGUGAGCUCACAAUGACUCAAGCUGCCACAUACUGUUGAUUGUGAAAUGCCAGUUGAAGUAUAUGUCCUGCGAGCUUAGGGGUGCUACAAGUUGACCACUGCAGCAAUAAAGAUGUCUCUGAAGAAUGGCGUGGGAUGGAUCCUUUCAAAUGCACUUGAGCAGCGGUCUCCAACCACAGGGCCACAGAGCUGGAGCUGGAUCUACCAUGAAGGACUUCUGAAUCCAGGAAGAGAGACUGACUGGGCAACAUGUUAUUCAGGUACAAAAAGAUUUGGACUGUAACUUAAAAAUGAUCAAAUAAUAGUGCAUGCAUCAAGUGCAAUGGGAAGCUCUUCUGGAGAGUGAGAGAAGCUUCCAGUUAAGGUGACAUUGAAGCCAAGUCCUGAAAGAUGAGGAAGAGUUGUAUGAGAGUGGGGAGGGAAGGGGGAGGUGGAGGGAUGGGGAAUGGGCCGGGAUG